GAUGAAGAACGCAGCGAAAUGCGAUACUUGGUGUGAAUUGCAGAAUCCCGUGAACCAUCGAGUCUUUGAACGCAAGUUGCGCCCGAAGCCAUCAGGUUGAGGGCACGUCUGCCUGGGCGUCACAUAUCGUUGCCCAAUGCCUAUUGCAGUGCAAUAGGAAUUUCUAGGGCGAAUGAUGGCUUCCCGUGAGCGUUGUUGCCUCGCGGUUGGUUGAGAAUCGAGUCCUUGGUAGGGUGUGCCAUGGUAGAUGGUGGUCGAGUUAGAACGAUACCGAUCAUGUGCAUGCUCCCCAAAAUAUGGCCUCUAUGACCCACACGCGUCUUUUGACGCUCAUGACGAGACCUCAGGUCAGGCGGGGCUACCCGCUGAAUUUAAGCAUAUCAAUAAGCGGAGGA
rnacentral:misc_RNA from 1 species